CGACGAAUCUUCCGCAAUGGGCGAAAGCCUGACGGAGCGAUGCCGCGUGUGGGAUGAAGCGGCUUUGCCGUGUAAACCACUGUCAGGAGACAGGAAUAUUGACCGUCUCCAGAGGAAGGGGCGACUAACUCUGUGCCAGCAGUCGCGGUAAUACAGAGGCCCCGAGCGUUAGUCGGAAUCACUGGGCUUAAAGGGUGCGUAGGCGGCUGGAUAAGUGUCGUGUGAAAUCCCACUGCUCAACGGUGGAACUGCACGGCAAACUGUCUGGCUAGAAGUAUGUAGAGGUCGCUAGAACGAAUGGUGGAGCGGUGGAAUGCGUAGAUAUCAUUCGGAAUGCCAAAGGUGAAGACAGGCGACUGGGCAUUACUUGACGCUGAGGCACGAA
rnacentral:rRNA from 1 species